GAUGAACGCUGGCGGCGUGCUUAACACAUGCAAGUCGAACGGAAAGGCUCCUGCUUGCUGGGGUACUCGAGUGGCGAACGGGUGAGUAACACGUGGGUAAUCUGCCCUUCACUUCGGGAUAACCCUGGGAAACUGGGUCUAAUACCGGAUAGGAGCACAUUUUGCAUGGUGUGGUGGAGAGUUUUUCGGUGGGGGAUGAGCUCGCGGCUUAUCAGCUUGUUGGUGGGGUAGUGGCCUACCAAGGCGUCGACGGGUAGCCGGCCUGAGAGGGUGUACGGCCACAUUGGGACUGAGAUACGGCCCAGACUCCUACGGGAGGCAGCAGUGGGGAAUAUUGCACAAUGGGCGGAAGCCUGAUGCAGCGACGCCGCGUGGGGGAUGACGGCCUUCGGGUUGUAAACUGCUUUCGCCUGGGACGAAGCGCGAGUGACGGUACUGGGUAAAGAAGCACCGGCUAACUACGUG
rnacentral:rRNA from 1 species